CAUCGGUACUGGAAGGUGCCAGAAUGUAAAAAGAGCUUCUACAGUGAAAAAAAAAAAAAAAAACAGAAGAGGAAACGUCCUCCUUUAAAACACAAAAGCAGCGCCUGGCUCUAGAAUGUGCCACAUCAGGAUGUGUCUGGGUGGAGACCUCAGCAGGCUGGCACCAGGGCUGGACAGAAAAAAUACAGCUGGACCCUACUCCAGCGUGUCACAGAAAGGCCAGUGGCGACGCCUGCCCCACGUUGCCCUUCUAGAUUCUUGCUAUGUUGACCAGGUCUUGAACUUCUGGCUUCAAGUGAUCCUCCUGCCUCGGCCUCCCAAAGCACUGGGAUUACAGAUGUGAGCCACUGUGCCUCGCCCGGAUGUUGAAUAUAUAAUCAGAAAACUACAAUGAGUUUUUUCCAGUUUUUAAAUUUGUGGUAAAUAUGCAUAACAUAAAAUUUUACUACCUUAACUGUGUUUAAUAUAUACAGUUUAGUGCCAUUAAAUAUAUUCAUAGUAUUGUGCAACCAUCACCACCAUCCAUGUCCAU
rnacentral:lncRNA from 10 species